GGAAGUCCGGUGCAAACCCGGCACGGUCGCGCCACUGUGUGCCGCACACUCCUGCCCCCUACCGGGUGCGGGGGAUGGCGGUGAGUCAGAC
rnacentral:ncRNA from 1 species